rnacentral:rRNA from 1 species
AGAGUUUGAUCAUGGCUCAGAUUGAACGCUGGCGGCAGGCCUAACACAUGCAAGACGAACGGUAACAGGAAGAAGCUUGCUUCUUUGCUGACGAGUGGCGGACGGGUGAGUAAUGUCUGGGAAACUGCCUGAUGGAGGGGGAUAACUACUGGAAACGGUAGCUAAUACCGCAUAACGUCGCAAGACCAAAGAGGGGGACCUUCGGGCCUCUUGCCAUCGGAUGUGCCCAGAUGGGAUUAGCUAGUAGGUGGGGUAACGGCUCACCUAGGCGACGAUCCCUAGCUGGUCUGAGAGGAUGACCAGCCACACUGGAACUGAGACACGGUCCAGACUCCUACGGGAGGCAGCAGUGGGGAAUAUUGCACAAUGGGCGCAAGCCUGAUGCAGCCAUGCCGCGUGUAUGAAGAAGGCCUUCGGGUUGUAAAGUACUUUCAGCGGGGAGGAAGGGAGUAAAGUUAAUACCUUUGCUCAUUGACGUUACCCGCAGAAGAAGCACCGGCUAACUCCGUGCCAGCAGCCGCGGUAAUACGGAGGGUGCAAGCGUUAAUCGGAAUUACUGGGCGUAAAGCGCACGCAGGCGGUUUGUUAAGUCAGAUGUGAAAUCCCCGGGCUCAACCUGGGAACUGCAUCUGAUACUGGCAAGCUUGAGUCUCGUAGAGGGGGGUAGAAUUCCAGGUGUAGCGGUGAAAUGCGUAGAGAUCUGGAGGAAUACCGGUGGCGAAGGCGGCCCCCUGGACGAAGACUGACGCUCAGGUGCGAAAGCGUGGGGAGCAAACAGGAUUAGAUACCCUGGUAGUCCACGCCGUAAACGAUGUCGACUUGGAGGUUGUGCCCUUGAGGCGUGGCUUCCGGAGCUAACGCGUUAAGUCGACCGCCUGGGGAGUACGGCCGCAAGGUUAAAACUCAAAUGAAUUGACGGGGGCCCGCACAAGCGGUGGAGCAUGUGGUUUAAUUCGAUGCAACGCGAAGAACCUUACCUGGUCUUGACAUCCACGGAAGUUUUCAGAGAUGAGAAUGUGCCUUCGGGAACCGUGAGACAGGUGCUGCAUGGCUGUCGUCAGCUCGUGUUGUGAAAUGUUGGGUUAAGUCCCGCAACGAGCGCAACCCUUAUCCUUUGUUGCCAGCGGUCCGGCCGGGAACUCAAAGGAGACUGCCAGUGAUAAACUGGAGGAAGGCGGGGAUGACGUCAAGUCAUCAUGGCCCUUACGAC